rnacentral:rRNA from 1 species
UAGACCCCGCCCCAACAGCUAGCCCUCCCCCCCGUAAAAAAUUAACUGCCUAUAGAACUAUCUUAUGAGAAAUUAAUAAACCUCACAUCAAACCAUUCUCCCCCUAAAGUAUGUGCGACAGAAACAGGCCAAAUCAAGCGCGAUAGAGUAAGUACCGCAAGGGAAUGCUGAAAUACGAAAACAUGAAAAAACUCAGUAAAGGCUGGAAGAGCAGAGCUAAACCCUCGUACCUUUUGCAUCAUGAUUUAGCUAGAACUAAUUAAGCAAAGCGACAUACUUUACGUUUAAUACCCCGAAACUGAGCGAGCUACUCCGAGACAGCCUAUCCAUAGGGCAAACCCUUCCCUGUUGCAAAAGGGUGGGAAGAGCUCUGAGUAGAGGUGAAAAGCCUAUCGAGCCCAGUAAUAGCUGGUUACCUAGGAGACGAAUAGGAGUUCCACCUUUUAACAUUUUAUCAAAUACAAAAAAUUAAAUUACAAACAUAAAUUAGAAGAAGUUAAAAGAGCCAUUCAAGAGAGGAACAGCUAUCUUGAAAAAAGACACAACUUUACUAGAAGGUUAAAGAUUACAACCCUAAAAGAUAAAUUUUUAUGUUGGCCUAAAAGCAGCCACCUCUCUAAACCGCGUUAAAGCUUAUUUAAGCACCCCCUAACAAUUUCUACAUACCUUUCUUAAACCUCUAACAUUUUACUAGGACAUUCUAUGCACACAUAGAAAAGAUCAUGCUAAUAUUAGUAUUAAGAGGGACUAUGGCCCCUCUCCCAAACACCUGUUUACCUCAGACCGAACCCCCCACUCGAACAUUAACGCCCUCUCAGAGAGAAGUGAAGAAACUCCGCCCAUCCCCAAGAUAACCCUCCACAAUCACAUCGUUAACCCCACACAGGAAUGCUUUAGGAAAGAUAAAACAAGAAAGAAGGAAUUCGGCAAACACCCAGGCCUCGCCUGUUUACCAAAAACAUCGCCUCUUGAACAAAAUGUAAGAGGUCCCGCCUGCCCAGUGAGUAAAUACUUUAACGGCCGCGGUAUACUGACCGUGCAAAGGUAGCGUAAUCACUUGUCUUUUAAAUGAAGGCCCGUAUGAAUGGCAAGACGAGGGCCUAUCUGUCUCCUUUUUUAACUCAAUGAAAUUGAUCUGCCCGUGCAGAAGCGGACAUAAAUACAUAAGACGAGAAGACCCUAUGGAGCUUUAGACCCAGGACAGCCCCAACACUAACUACCACAUAAAUACACCCUCAAACCCAACAAAAUAAAGCGUCUGUCCCCCUGUCUUUGGUUGGGGCGACCAUGGGGAAAAACAAAACCCCCACGAGGAACGGGAAGCCUUCCUUAAAAGCUGGGCCACAGCCCUACUUCACAGAAAGAUCUGACCUUAUGAUCCGGCAAAGCCGAUCAACGGACCCAGUUACCCUAGGGAUAACAGCGCAAUCCUCUUCCAGAGCCCUUAUCGACAAGAGGGUUUACGACCUCGAUGUUGGAUCAGGACCUCCUACUGGUGUAGCCGCUAUUAAGGGUUC